UCGGAUAUGGUGUAAUGGUUAACAUUACCGCCUCUCACACCUAGGAUUCGCGGUAGCUCGGGGUUCGAUUCCCCGUAUCCGAA
rnacentral:tRNA from 1 species